GCUUAGUUGCCUUCGAGUUCAUGUGGCUGAUUGGUGGUGUCUGUCCCACCAAGUCUCGGCCGGUAGUCCCUGCGGGUUUAUUGUUGUGUCCGUUUGGUGUCAUCUCCGGUGCGUUCACAGGACUUGGGCCUGUGCUUGUGGUGUGGCCUGUAGGUGUCUUUUGGGUGGCCAUGGCUUCUCCCAUAAAGGUGGCUGUAUUGGUCGGGUGCUGGUCGACGGGCUUGUAGUUGCGACUGGUGCUUCAGGUAUAUGGAUGCCCAGUGUUGCCCCGAAGGUCGCCAUCUUAGAGAUAUCUUGAAGGACGUGGGUGGUGUUCUUGCGGACUAGUAGUUUGAAUGGAUGUCCCCAUCGGUAUGCCAUGUUUGCCUGAGCCAGAGCGUUUGUUAGUGGUUUGAGCUCUCUGCAUUUGGCUAAGGUGAUGGAUGAAACGUCCUAAUAGAACUGAAGAGUGAUUGUGUCGAAUUUCGGCGGGUUUAUCUGUGUAGCUGCCAUGAUGGCUUCUUUGAAUGUGAAAUAGUGUAG